rnacentral:rRNA from 1 species
UUUAUAAUUUAUUGUUUUAAUUAUUAAAUAUAUUAUUUAAGUAUAUCAUGAACUAAGGGUUUUUUAAAACUGAUUAGGGUUUAAUUUAAAAUUAUAGUAUAAUUUAUUAGUACCUUUUGUAUCAUGGUAAAUUUAAUAAUAAAUGUAUAUUUACUUCCCGAAAAACAAAUAUUUAUUUAAUAAUUUCUUUUUUUGUUGUAAAAAAAUUGUUAAUUUUUAAAUGGUAGUAAAAUGUUAAUCGUUUUGUUUUAUAUCUGGUUAACUAGGAAAUCAAUUUAAUUGUGAACUUAAUUUUAGUUUUAUAUUAUUUUGGAUAAUCUGAAUUUUUUCUUAAAAUUUUAAUUUUAAAUAUAUUUAUUAAAUUUUAAAUCUUUUAUUAAGUUCUUAAUUGAUUAAUAUUUUUUAUUACGAUUUUUUUAUUUUUAUGUUUUUACUUGUUUAAAUUAUUUAAUUACUUUUUAAUUUUUAUAAUGAUUUAAUUAGUAAAAUUUUGAAUUAAUUUUUAAUGAACUCGACAUUUAUUAUUUCCAACUGUUUAUCAAAAACAUUUCCUUUAGUUUAUUUUUAAAGGUAAUUUCUGCCCUAUGAAUUUUAAAUGGCUGCAGUACCCUGACUGUGCAAAGGUAGCAUAAUAAUUAGUCAUUUAAUUGUUGACUUGUAUGAAUGAAUACAUGAGAUGUAAAUUUUAUUAAUUUUAAUGUUUAAAUUUUAUUUUUAGGUAAAAAAGCUUAAUUGAAUUUUAGGGACGAUAAGACCCUAUAGAACUUUAUAAGUUUAUUAAAUUAACUGAAUUUAGAAGUUUAUUUUAUUUAUUUUAUUAAAAUUUGUUUGGUUGGGGUGAUAAGUAAAAUUUUACUUUACUUUAUUUAAUCAUUAAAUUUAUGUUUUUAUUGAUCCACUGUUUAGAUAAAAAGAAAAAGUUACCUUAGGGAUAACAGCGUAAUUUUAGUGGGGAGUUCUUAUUUAUACUAAAGUUUGCGACCUCGAUGUUGAAUUAAGAUUAGUUUAGGGGGUAGGUUUUCUAAAACUAAGUCUGUUCGACUUUUAAAAUCUUACAUGAUUUGAGUUCAAACCGGUGUGAGCCAGGUUGGUUUCUAUCUUAAUAUCAUUAAAUUUGUUUAGUACGAAAGGACCAAUAAAUUCAAUAUUCUUUGU